ensembl:lincRNA 4930524B17Rik RIKEN cDNA 4930524B17 gene
AAAUGUUCAGAACCACAAGGAAGGAAAAAGAGAUUCUGUGGUGCGGUUGUGGGGAGAAGCUUGCUUACACUAACUGAUAUGAAGAGCUCCGUCUUAAUUGUGAAAAAAAAAAUUCUGAGCAGGCGAUUCUGCACUGUUUGCUGUCCUAAUGCCCAAUGCCAUCAUGAAUCUCAGCAUAUAGAAAGUCUUCAGUCAAAGGUGAUAAUCCAGAAAGAUCCGACAAGCAGCUGAAAGAGUCAGAUACAGUUAUUUGCACCCAACCAAUGGACAGAAGCUGCUGAUCCAUGUGGUUGACUUAGGGAAAAGCUGGAAGAAGCUGAGGAGGAACACAUGGGAGAAUAUAGACGGAGGAAAGAGAAUGAGAAUAUUAUGUCAUUCAUUCAGUAACUCACUUACAGUGGAGGAAACACAGUGACCAACGAGCAAUGUGGGAAGGAAAUGGAAAUGCUUUUACUUCCACAGCAGUAUUCAUCAUCAAAGGAAGACAUCAGGACAGGAACUCAAAUGAGGCAGGAACUUAGAGGAAAGAGUUGAUGCAAGACCAGAGUGAUACUGCGUGCUGCCUUGCUCUCUCCAUGGCUUACUUGUGCUUCUUUUUUAUCAAAUGCAAGAUCACCAACCCAGAGAUGACACUAUCUAUAUUAGGCUGAGCAGUCCCACAUCAAAAUUAAGAAAAUGCCGUACAGCCCUAUCUACAACCCAAUUUUAUGGAGGUAUUUUCUCUAUUGAGGUUGCCUUCACUCACAGGACUUUAACUUGUAUCAAGUUGACAAAACUAUCCAAUCUUCAUAUGACCACAAUAUUCAUCUCAGUUCAGGCUUUCUCAUUGAAUCUUCUGCCUGCUUUCGUCAUUCCAUAAUGUAUAAUUUUACCCCAUGGGUCAUUUAUUUAAACACAUUUUCUAUGUAAAUUUACAAUAAUCACCUUGAUUCCUCAUGUUAUAAUCUAUGAUCAAAGGAACUCAUUUCUUUUUAAUUUUUAUUUAUUUUUCUCUCAUACAAUACAUUCUGACUGCAGCUUCUCCUAUGUCCACUCUUCCCAGACCCUCUCCAAUUCCCCUCUACCCCAUAUGUACACAUCCGCAUCCACCCUCAGAGACAUCAACUAAAGAAGGCACAAUAAGAUAUUAAUAAGAAGAGGCACAAGCCCUCACAUCAAGGCUGAAAAGGGUAAACCCAUAGGAGGAAAAGUCAGAGAUACCCCUACUCUCACUCUCAAGAGUUCAGCCAAAAUACCAAGCCAACAACUUUAAUCUAUAUGCAGAGGACCCUGCUCAGACCCAUGCAGACUUUCUUAUUGCCCCUUCAGUCUCUGUAAAACCCAUGAGACCUUCUUAGUUGAUUCCCCAAGGAAGCUUUCCCAUUGUUUGUCAGAGGAAAUGACUACACAGUUCCACCAAGUAGCCAUGUUACUUUCUCUGUAUUAUUACCUUUACUGGAGAGCUCUCCACUGAAAGUGUUCAUAAUUGAUUGGUCAAACACACUGUCAGUGUUCACAAUUCUCCCAUGCAUAGGACGCUACAAAAUGAAUAAAAUAGCAUGCUAAAAUGCUUAAAGUCGAGAUACUUCUUUUUGAAAAAAUAAUUAAGUCUGGAUUUAUGAAUAUUUAAUUCCAGAAGUCAUGUAAUUUUCCAACCUAAGUAUUUUCAUUCUUUUGUAUAACCAAAGUCUCAGUGCAUGAAAAUGUCAGUCAGUGAAGCAUUUCAAACUAGAAAGUCAGGCAAUCACAGACCUUCCCCUAAGGGAUAAUACUGCUUUAUGUACUUUUUCAAUGUUAUAAAUUUUACUCAAAAUGUCUAAGACUUUGAAGAAGUUCUAUGAUUCUACCAGUAUUUUUUAAUGUAUUAUCAGAAUAAAAAAUGAUUUAUGGC